UUUUUUUUCCUUCCAGCCCAAUCCGCCAACCUUCCCAAAAAAGAAGGAAAAAGCCCUCGGACUUCUCCAAUACCGUGAACACUUAUUUCAUAAACCUGAAACUGCUAUUUCUCCUAGAAGGGCAAGUAAAAUUCAGCGUGAAACUGCUAUUUCUCUUAGAAGGGCAAGUAAAAUUCAGCGAAAUUACUGGUGUUCAGACGUCAAUCUCAUCGUAGUAGAGAAAUUGCUUGUCACCUCCAUUGACAACAACUGCUCACGUUUCUUCUCAUCAAGGACAAAUUUGACAGUGAUGACAUAAAUGAUCAACGAGAUCAUUUCCCGAAACAUAUGAGAGUUAUGGAACAAUUGGAGAGGAUCGAUGCACAAGAAUAUCAAGUCUAAGCCAUUCCGUUAUGCUCUAAAAGAUGUGCCAAAGGGGGUAGACAAGAGUGAUUGGGAAUGGCUGGUCAAGGAGCAUUUUCUUACUGAAAAAUUUAAGGAGACAAGUACAAGAAACUGAUCAAUAGGUCUAAGUUGAGUAUGCCUCAUCGUAUAGGUAGUAAGCCAAUUAGGGAGAUCAUUUAUGAAUUGGGAGGUAAAGAUGGCAAUCCACCAGAUGUGGCAACUAUUUUUUUUUAGACUCGCAAAAAUCAAAGAAAUGGUGCAAUCUGAAUUGUCUCUUACAAACAUUGAGGUUGUAGAAAGGUGCUUCGGACCUCAACAAAGAGUCAUGUAGUUGGAUUUGGUGGUGGGAUAACCGCUAAGGAGUUGAAAGGUGGUAACUCCUCUAAGCUGCAUUGUUGGAAAAGCUGAAUGCUAAUAAAAAAGAAAAUAAAUCACUAAAAGGACGCCUGGAAGGGUUAGAGAGUAAAUAUGAUGAGCUAGGGAGUAAAUACGCACAGCUUGCAAAGAUAGUGUUUGAUAAGCCUUCAUCACCAUCUUCAAGUGAUCAAUAUAUUGAAUCAUUUAACAUGUUAGUAGGUUAAAAAUCCUAUUUUACUCUCUGAUGAAAAUAUUGCAAUGCUCAUGUGAACUUUUUCUUUAUGUCAUUAAGGUUUAUGAAUAAACAAAAGUAUAGUCAAAUGACUUUAAGCAAUAAUGAAGUUUCAAAAUUGCUAGCU